UACGUAGGGGGCAAGCGUUGUCCGGAAUCAUUGGGCGUAAAGAGCGUGUAGGCGGCCAGAUAAGUCGGCUGUGAAAGUCCAGGGCUCAACCCUGGGAUGCCGGUCGAUACUGCCGGACUAGAGUUCGGAAGAGGCGAGUGGAAUUCCCGGUGUAGCGGUGAAAUGCGCAGAUAUCGGGAGGAACACCUAUGGCGAAGGCAGCUCGCUGGGACGUUACUGACGCUGAGACGCGAAAGCGUGGGGAGCAAACAGG
rnacentral:rRNA from 1 species